rnacentral:rRNA from 1 species
AGGGCAUACGGUGGAUGCCUAGGCGCCAAGAGCCGAAGAAGGACGCGGUAAGCUGCGAAAAGCCACGGGGAACUGCAAGCAAGUAUUGAUCCGUGGAUAUCCGAAUGGGGAAACCCGGCCAUCGUCAUGGAUGGUCACCCGCAAGGGAGGGAACCUGGGGAACUGAAACAUCUAAGUACCCGGAGGAAGAGAAAUCAAACGAGAUGCCCACAGUAGCGGCGAGCGAAGAGGGCAGAGCCCAAACCGAGAAGCUCCGGCUUUUCGGGGUUGAGGACCGGCAGAAUCGAAGUCAGGCCUAGUUGAAUUACCUGGAAAGGUAAGCGAGAGAGGGUAAAAGCCCCGUAGACGAAAGGCAGAGCAGAGAGGCCGAGAUCCAGAGUACCACGAAGCACGAGGAAUUUUGUGGGAAGCAGGGGGGACCACCCUCCAAGGCUAAAAACUACUUGGCGACCGAUAGCGCAUAGUACCGUGAGGGAAAGGUGAAAAGAACCCCGGGAGGGGAGUGAAAUAGUACCUGAAACCGUAUGUCUACAAGCAGUCGAAGCGAAAGCGACGGCGUGCCUAUUGAAGAAUGAACCAACGAGUUAUCUGCACUAGCGAGGUUAAGUGGAAGACACGGAGCCGCAGCGAAAGCGAGUCUUAAGAGGGCGCUAGUUAGUGUAGGUAGACCCGAAACCGCAGUGAUCUACCCAUGUCCAGGUUGAAGCGCAGGUAAAAUUGCGUGGAGGACCGAACCGGUGAGCGUUGAAAAGCUUUCGGAUGAGAUGUGGGUAGGGGUGAAAUUCCAAUCGAACGCGGAGAUAGCUGGUUCUCCCCGAAAUAGCUUUAGGGCUAGCCUGAGGUAGUAAGUAUAGGCGGUAGAGCACUGAUCGGGCUAGGGGCCGUAAAGGUUACCGAACCCUGUCAAACUCCGAAUGGAUAUACUGUAGAGCCUUGGAGUCAGACUACGAGUGAUAAGAUCCGUGGUCAAAAGGGAAACAGCCCAGACCACCAGCUAAGGUCCCCAAUGUCGUACUAAGUGGAAAAGGAUGUGGGGUUUCAUAAACAACCAGGAUGUUGGCUCAGAAGCAGCCACCAUUUAAAGAGUGCGUAAUAGCUCACUGGUCGAGAGACCCUGCGCCGAAGAUUCCCGGGGCUAAAGUACGAAACCGAAGCUGUGGCUGUAUACGUAAAGUAUACGGGGUAGGGGAGCGUUCCCAUAGGGUAGAAGUCGAACUGGAAGGUUCGGUGGACUUGUGGGAAGUGAGAAUGUUGGUAUGAGUAGCGAAAAGAAAGGUGAGAAUCCUUUCCACCGAAAGCAUAAGGAUUCCUGAGCAACGAUCGUCGUCUCAGGGUAAGUCGGGACCUAAUCCGAGGCAGAGAGCGUAGGAGAUGGACAACUGGUUGAUAUUCCAGUACCGGUAGUAAUUGUUUGAGCAAUGGAGUGACACAGAAGGGCAGGCAAGCAUGCGAAUGGAAGAGCAUGUGUAAGCGUGUAGGGUGGUGCAUAGGCAAAUCCGUGCACUGAAAGCCUGAGGCGUGAUGCGGAGUGAGCAGAGAUGCGAGCGAAGUUGUUGACCCCACACUGUCGAGAAAAGCUUCUAGUGAGAGAGCUACCGCCCGUACCGUAAACCGACACAGGUAUGCGGGGAGAGAAUCCUAAGGUGCGCGGGAGAACCCUCGUUAAGGAACUCGGCAAAAUGUACCCGUAACUUCGGGAUAAGGGUAGCCACUGUUGUGAAGUCCCAUGCGGAUGGAGCAUAGAGUGGUCGCAGAGAAGAGGCCCAAGCGACUGUUUACCAUAAACACAGGUGCCUGCUAAAGCGAAAGCUGACGUAUAGGUGCUGACACCUGCCCAGUGCCGGAAGGUUAAGGAAGGAUGUUCGGAUUAGUCCAAAGCAUUCGACUGAAGCCCCGGUGAACGGCGGCCGUAACUAUAACGGUCCUAAGGUAGCGAAAUUCCUUGUCGGGUAAGUUCCGACCCGCACGAAAGGUGUAACGACUUGCGCACUGUCUCAACGAGGGACCCGGUGAAAUUGAAGUACCUGUGAAGAUGCAGGUUACCCGCGACUGGACAGAAAGACCCCAUGGAGCUUUACUGCAACCUAAGAUUGAACUUAGUUAAUGAAUGUACAGGAUAGGUGGGAGACUUAGAAUCUAGGGCGCCAGUCUUAGAGGAGUCGUUGUUGGGAUACCACCCUUUGAUUAAUUGAUUUCUAACAGGCCGAUUAACAACCGGCUGGACAGUCUUAG